GCUUUCCAGCCCCUCUGCCCCAGCCCAGCUCCAUGGAGUUGGGGUGACCCCAGGGCAGGACCUGGCACUUGGCCCUGUUGUCCCUCAGCCCAUGGAUCCAGCCUGUCCAGAUCCCUCUGCAGAGCCUGUAAAGAUGGUGCAGUCUGUCAGUGUUGGCUCGUUUCAGGAUGUUAAAAUAACACUUGACAUCUUGGGCUGGUGCACACCCUCAAGUGAGGAAGGGUUCCCUCACUGGUGUGGAAGCUGACAGUAGAGAACCAGCCAGAACUUCCAGCUGCUUUCUGCAUCCAGACCCUGUCCUAAAGAGUGACGGGUUGAAGAGGAGCAAUCACAGUCUGACACUCUGAGAGCUCUCUUGCUCUCACAGCGUGCAGGAGAGCAGGGCAGCAAUCGCUAACAAGAAGCUCCAGAACAGAAUGACAGGCCUCAUGUCCCCGUGACACCCUAUGAGCGGCACACAGAGCAGACAGGAGCAGCAAAUCUGUCCCAUCACAGCCACUGCCACCUCUGACCCUUCAAACAGAAUGGAUUUGGCAGGAAAGGCUGGCCGCUGCUGGUGCACCAGCUAUCAAUAUAUUCUUAAUAGAAAUGGCUCCACCGGCAGCUGAGCCCACCCCUGCCACCACAGAGAACUGUGCAGCACUCCACCAACAAAAACCUGCUGUAAAAAAUGUGCUGAUACAUAUUGUAAAUAAGAGGUUUAAUGGCAGCUGUCAGAUUACCUCUGUUGUAAAGUUGCUCCUUUAAAUUUACAUCACUGCAAUCACAAAAACUGUAAUUAAAAGCCAAGUAAAUUACUGUUUGCAUUUCUAAUGCAACAGCAAUUUCAAAACAAUGUGUCAAUACAGAGCAACAAAGAAAUUGUCUAUUUUCAAAACCAGGGAGAAGAGAUUUUAAUCUGUGAUACAUGUGUGUUUCCCAGUGUGAUUUUUCUAUUAAUGACACCUCAUAGCAAAAUAGUCCACUCUACUUACUGAUCAUAUUAAGCUGUUGCCAUGGAAAUAUGAAGACCCUACUAUACUCAGAUGUUAACUCUUAAAGCACAGCUUUACACUACUUUAAUAUCAAUUUUUGUUUAAAAAGAGAGCUCUUGGCAAGGCAGAAUUCAGUUAUUUUCCAGCUGUCUAGCACAAUGGCUGUGUUAAGAAGACAAUGGCAAGGGCUUGUUUCAGAGGUGUUGUAGGAGAGCACAUCCAUUCAGAAAUAUCCCCCCACAUCAUUUCCUUAUGAAUAGAGAAUUAUGAGAAAAGUGACAAACAGCUCCACAGACAAUGGCAGGAGUACUUAAUCAGCCAAGUUCGUUAAGGAGGAGAAGAAACUGAGCUCCUGCUUAUUUCCAGGCUAGUAUUUCUGAAUAAAUAAUUCUCAUGCACACAAAUGCAACUGAGUUGUGAAGAAAGUCAUUCCAGAUAUCCAGUUCCAGUCAGCUGGAGAACCACCUGACUCUUCAAUACCACCUUAUAAAGGCACAACAAGUGCACCCUGAUCUUGGUAAAGAAGUUGAUUUAGAUGGCUCUAAAAGCUUAAAUGAAAUACAGCCCAGAUAUAGCCUCCUUCCUCUCCCCAAGACAGAAGAAUGCCCUUGGCUUCCAUCAAAGGUCUCUCAAGUUGGAGGACUGAAGAGAUACUUAGGAUAUUUUAUUUUAGAAAGAAGGUGUAGAAUAUACUUCCAAGGCAUAUUAAAAUUGGGGAUUUUAUGGAAAGGAUAUAAUUAAGCACACUAGCAGUAAGAUAAUGUGGAUUGAGGAGCAGAUGGGUGCAUAUAUCUGCAGGAUUUUCUAACAAAGAAAAAUAUAUUCCGAGUGAAAUGCAAGUGACUGAUGCAGACAUGCCUUUAUCCUCACCUGCACUUAUCAGCUGCCAACAUUUCAAAUUGCACUGCUCUUACUCGAGUGAAACUUCCCUCUUCUUACACUGACUGGAGCUUAUCUACAGCACCAAGACACAAUGGGUCUGCUUGAAAGAUGCAGAUCCUCCUUUAACAUUUCUUAAUUCUGUUGGAUUUAAGUCAAACCCUCAGGGUGAGCACCUGUUUUUAACAGCUCAUCAAGGAUGAAGCAACACCCCUGUAGCAUCAGCAGGCUGAUAUAUGAACUGUGCAAGAGGCUGAUAUUGUGGCAGGGUGUUUAAGCAAAAAAGGACGAAUUUCCAAGUGGCUUUUCAGCAGAAUUGACCAAGACAGGCACCUCCUGAAUAGAGGGGAAAUGUGCUCUGCAGUGAAAGGGAAAUUAGCUGGAGAAGUGCCUGAGCAGGCUCGCCUUCAGCGGGAGAUCCACUCCAAAGCCUCUCCCAUUAAACCCUUCUGGGCCAGAGGAGUGAGGAGCCCGUUAGGAACCAGCCCCCCGUGGCCUGAACUGUACUUUGCUGGGAGUCUGCUUUUUAGAUUUUCAUGCUGUUAUUAUUGAGAGGAAGUCUGUGAAGGCAGACCUCUUCUUAAAAACCUCCCCAUUUUUGGUGAUGUCCGGGCUGCAGCCUGCAGGCAGGACCCCAGGGGACGGAAAGAGAAAAGUACUCAUCCUACCCCAAAAACAUGAGUUCCUCAGGACAGGAAUCAGGCACUGUCUGCCCUUUGUACCGGGAGCAGGGGAAGCAGCUUGAAUAUGUAGCUUGGGCUCAGGGUGCCUUAGCCAGUGUACACAGAGCUUCUGAAACACAGCAGGGCUCAGAGCCCUCAGCAUUGCCUCAUCUCCCUGGAAAAUGCAAAUCCAGCAAUGUGCCUCUUUGGCACUGACCUCCAGGCUGUCAGCUGAAGUGUGCCUGAGGUACAUUUCCAGGAGCUGAUGUCACAUUACAGCGAGCAAUACCUAUGCUGUGGAGUUGCUUCUGUGUUUUCAAAUCACUUUGACACACGGGAUAAAAGAAUUUCCAUAAUUAUAAAUCAAAACACAAUGGAUUUCACUGGGUACUGUUUUAAUUCAGGCACACAGCCUCUUCUCUGCUUGCUCUCUCCAGCACACUGGCUACAACUGUAUAACACUGGAACUGAGCACAGGAGAACAGCAAAACUGUCUCAAACAACACAAGUAAUUGUCAAUUUUGUAUGGCAGACCAAUAAUGGGGACAAUGGCCCACCUUACUUCCUUCUUUUAACUUGGGCAAGAACAGUGUCUGCAGAGUGAACUGACAUUUGCCUUACAUUUGCCUUUUUGCCCUGUUAAUUUGAUUGAUGCAAUGCAUACUUCUCUUUCCUUCUGUUGCUGAAAAAUAUUGCAAGAAUAUGUCAAGACUGAUGCACUCUCAGUCAAUCAGAGCAGAUUUCUGCACAUAACUUCUCUGACAAUGCCUUGUUUGCCCUCUCUGCAAACUUGCAGUGUUGGGAAUGUAGGCACAGGCUAAUUAAAGUUUAAUUAUUCACUCGAUCUAUUAGGAUGGAAUUCAGGUUAGUGCACAAGGCUGCCUGUGCCAUUUCAGCACAUCACAAGGGAGGCUGCAGAGGUAGAAGUGGAUUUGGCCAGAUAAAAUUACACUGUCCAGAGAUUUCUGCACAACAGAAAGCACAAUUUCUCUGCCUGCAUUUCUAAUGGCUAAAGACGAUUUAUCUACUGCAGAUGAUCCAGUGCACAAAGGGAGGCAUCACUGAACACAAGGUCUCUGCCAGAAGUCUCCAUGUCACUUUAAUGGUCAGAAGUUCUCACUGCUGGGAAUUCAGGCUGCUGACAGAAAAUAUCUGUCCCUGCAUAUUCCUCCUUCCUGCCCUCGAGCACAUUCUGCUUGUUUCCACAUUCUCUCAGGGCAACUUCCAUAACCUCUUCCUCACUCCCCAACUUCAGUCAGACUUCAUUUCACAACAUUAAUGAGGGUAUCCUGAUUUCAACAACAGUAAAAAGCCUUUGGGAUUUAGAUAAAGACAGAAAUGUUUCUUCUCCUGAGGAUUCCACCAAUCUUUUGGAGACCUCCUCUUUCCUCAUGGCUGAUUUUUAACCACUUGCUCUGUUAUGGCUCUGGAUUUCCAGAUGGUGCUGCAGAGGGGACUGAUGGCCUGUUAUCAGCCUGCUAAAAAUAAUACCAUUUCCAAGUGCUUCAGCUCUCCAACAUGUACCAGUGGAUUGAGCACUGUUUGUAUGACUUGAGGCCUAAAGACCAAUUUGUUUCAUGAGACUUCAGCUGCUGCAUUUCUGUGGAAGUCAAUGGAACUGCACCAGCAUCAAACAGUGCAGUGGAGUGGUGAACUGGGCCCUUAGAGUUGAAUUCCACAUGGACAAAGUGCAGGAGAGUGGCCAUGACAACUCCUGCCGCACCUGUAAGACCAUUGGAACAACAACAUUUAUUAUCUCUCAGACUCUGUCAUCUCCCCUCAAAUAUAUUUAUCAUGAUACACCCUAAAACCAUGGACCAAAGCUGAGUGUGUAUCAAUAAAGCACACAAGAGGUGUUUUAAUUAGGACUGAUCAGCAGUGGCCCUCAGUAAUCUCCAACUGCAGCUUCAUGUUCUGCAGUGGUUGUGGUACAAGGGCAAAGGGAAAGGCACUAAAAACAAUAUUGCAGGUUUCAAAUUACUUGUGCUGCAGGCAAUAUCUCAGGACAUUACAGCUGAAAAACAUUUUGAAAUGAAAUAUAUUUCAUGAUUGACCUUUUAUUUUUUGACAUGGCUUUGCUGUGAUUCUGUAUUGUAUAAGUAUUUUAUAUGUCAUUGGUCUUUCCCAAAUCACAUCUGUAGAUUUUUUGGUUUAUUGUGGAGUUUUUCUGUGUGGUUCUAUACUCCAGCAAUUAUUUUGUGGGAAAUUAUAACAUUAAAGCAGAGAACUCAGAACUAGUUUAGGCCUACCUCCAGCAAUUCUGCAACAAUUCUUUAAGAAGUAUCAGGCAGAUACUGAACCCAAAGCAACACAUAAUAGAAGCAAUUUCUGAUCUUGAUCCUGUUUGACCAUACCAGCAUGGCUUUCAAGUUAACAGGCUAAAAAGGAAGGAUGUAAUAUAUCCAGCUGAGAAAUACAUGCACACAUAAACAAGGAAAUGCAGGGGGCUUGUGCCCAGCUGGCCUGGCCUUACCUUUGUGAACUUCUGAAAAUCGUUAAGUUCCCCGUGUAAAAAAUUCCCACUAAACUUUAUUUGCUCUCUUGGAGGCUUUAAACAUUCAACACACACUGACAGCCAGACUUAAUGCCCCUGAAAAUUAAGAGUUAAGGGUAUCAAGUUGAGCUUUCAGAAAAAAACUAAUCCUUGACCUGAAACAGGUACUUGAAAUUGUACCUGUUGGCCUCUUGGGUUCAUCAGACCUUUAAGUGAGGGAUGUGAGAAUUGCACCAAGGAUUCAUACACAGAUCUUCAGAACAUGCCAGGACAUCUCUGCUUGUAAGCAAUAAACUCAUACAAUGUAAUUUUAGUGACACAGCAGGGUGCUAGUACUGCUCCUUUCCUUUAAAAAUAAACAGAAAACAAAAAGUGUUGAAUAAACAUUAAAACAAAGAUUAAUUUCAGGAUUGUCUGAGUUCCUGUCAAAACUGUAUUCAUAUGUAUUCAAACAUCAUCUGAUAAAUAACUUAACUGGAAAUUAUCAACAACAAAAAACAAAAGGAAUGGGAAAAAUAAAGAUACCUGGAAAGAUUUCAGCAAAGAUCUAACUCUUGGAGUUUUUCCAAGAGGCAGCCUUGAUUUUGAUUAAUAUUAUAAUACAGCCUGCUAAAACAGCACCUCAUAAAUAUCCAUGAAGCGGUUUAUUAGAGAUGGUUGUAAAUACUUAAAAUCUUGUCUUGCAACCCAUCAGAUUUCAGGGGAAAAAAAAGCAGUUGAGAACAUCAAAAGGUGAAAAUAAGAAGAAUUCUUAGAGGAUGUUUUCUUCCUCCUAAAUAUUAGAAUAUAUCGGUCCAAAAAACAUUAUCCUGGAGAGUGGAAAUACUACUGGAAAAUGUGUGGGCUGCUUUAUAAGCACAAAUAACAGAGAUUUUGGGAGAGAGACAGACUGCUGGGGGAAAAGAAAACCAGAAAAAUAUGACAUGGGGAAUAUAUGAAAAUUACUCUUACUACAGCCUUCUAUUUUCUCAUUUCAAAACCAAAACAAAAUAACUACUUGUGAGAAAAUGAACUUGGUAUGUAUGUAAGGAAAGGGUGGAAACCAGAGAGCUGAGAAAGGAACCAGGGACAUAUUGGGGCAUAAGCAAUUUCCUUCUGCAAUCUUUUCAUCUUGUAAGUCUGUUUUUACACAUAGCAUCUUGCAGUUGUAGAAUAAAACCAUUUUAAUUUAAGCUCUGUUAUAUCUGAGGUUUCAAUCUUCUAUUGUCUAACUUUUUGUCUUGCAUCCAGUGUCGAUGUGUUCACAGCCAAGGCCAUUCCAGGCAGCACUUUUGCUGCUUUCCAGCAUUCUCCUCUCAGAAUGAAUUUUAGCUUGUGAAGCCUCUAAGGCAGAAAACCGAAGUCAUGCAUUUAGAGAGCAACAGGAAGGAGAACAACAUUAUAAAAUGUGGCACUAAUGUGGUACCACAGCCACGUCGUCCUUGCAGGGGAGAAGACACCACUUUUCUGCAGGAUUCUGCAUCUCCUGUGGGCAGGACCCCGGGGGGGAUGCUGCAGAUAGAGCUGUCCUGUAGGACAGGAGCUCUGGGCACAGGCUGAGACAUCUGUCCUGAGGGAAUGGUGAGGAAUGGGAAGCAGCACAAGGCACGAGUGACCACAGACAAGCUCCUGCAGAAAGGGCAGGCUGUGAUUGCUAUUCCAGCUCAGCUCCUGUCCCAGCUGCUCCCUGUGGACAGUCUGGAGUCACAGUGCAGUUUCAGGAGAGAGUGGCAGCCCAACAGCUUGCUUUCAAUUCCCACUGCCUUUGCUGUGAUGAGAAUUUCCCAUGUAACCAGCCCAGUGGUACAAGUCCCCUGCCCUGCUGGCUCGGUGGCAGACACAGCUCCCCAGACAGGGCACAGCUC